CGGGGUGAGUAACGCGUGGGUAACCUGCCUCACACAGGGGGAUAACAGUUAGAAAUGACUGCUAAUACCGCAUAACCCGAUAGGAUCGCAUGAUCCAGACGGAAAAGAUUUAUCGGUGUGAGAUGGACCCGCGUCUGAUUAGCUAGUUGGUGAGGUAACGGCCCACCAAGGCAACGAUCGGUAGCCGGACUGAGAGGUUGAACGGCCACAUUGGGACUGAGACACGGCCCAG
rnacentral:rRNA from 1 species